rnacentral:rRNA from 1 species
AUUGAACGCUGGCGGCAGGCCUAACACAUGCAAGUCGAGCGGAUGAAGGGAGCUUGCUCCUGGAUUCAGCGGCGGACGGGUGAGUAAUGCCUAGGAAUCUGCCUGGCAGUGGUGUAUAACGUCCGGAAACGGGCGCUAAUACUGCAUACGUCCUGAGGGAGAAAGAUGGGGAUCUUCGGACCUCACCCUAUCAUAUGAGCCUAGGUCGGAUUAGCUAGUUGGUGGGGUAAGGGCCUACCAAGGCGACGAUCCGUAACUGGUCUGAGAGGAUGAUCAGUCACACUGGAACGGAGCCACGGUCCAGGCUCCUACGGGAGGGAGCAGUGGGGAAUGUUGGACAAUGGGGGAAAGCAUGAUCCAGCCAGGCCGAGUGUGUGAAGAAGGUCUUCGGAUUGUAAAGCACUUUAAGUUGGGAGGAAGGGCAGUAAGUUAAUACCUUGCUGUUUUGACGUUACCAACAGAAUAAGCACCGGCUAACUUCGUG